UACGUAGGGCGCAAGCGUUAUCCGGAAUUAUUGGGCGUAAAGAGCUCGUAGGCGGUUUGUCGCGUCUGCCGUGAAAAGUCCCGGGGCUCAACUCCGGAUCUGCGGUGGGUACGGGCAGACUAGAGUGUGGUAGGGGAGACUGGAAUUCCUGGUGUAGCGGUGAAAUGCGCAGAUAUCAGGAAGAACACCAAUGGCGAAAGCAGCUUUCUGGGACGGUACUGACGCUGAGACGCGAAAGCGUGGGAGCGAACAGG
rnacentral:rRNA from 1 species